UACGUAGGGUGCAAGCGUUAUCCGGAAUUAUUGGGCGUAAAGAGCUCGUAGGCGGCUUGUCGCGUCCGGUGUGAAAGUCCAUCGCUUAACGGUGGAUCUGCGCCGGGUACGGGCAGGCUAGAAUGCGGUAGGGGAGACUGGAAUUCCCGGUGUAACGGUGGAAUGUGUAGAUAUCGGGAAGAACACCAAUGGCGAAGGCAGGUCUCUGGGCCGUUAUUGACGCUGAGGAGCGAAAGCGUGGGGAGCGAACAGG
rnacentral:rRNA from 2 species